UUUGUAGAUUUCUCUUACAUUCUGUGCAAUUGACUAUGUGCUCAUUUUUAGAAGAGGAUCCAGUAAUGUCAGUGUGAGGACCAUUGAUUAGUCGAUAUCUAAAAUUCCUGUUAGAGAGAAACAGAUAAUGAAGAAGAGCCCCUUCCCCUUGGCACCCACACAUAGGGAUGCUCUUUUGUGGUUCUAAAGGGAAUCCCAACUCUGGAUACUACAAAUCCACAUGUUUCAGGAAGGCCAGUUUUGGGCUAAGACCAUGAGACCUAAAGGCAAAUAAUGAUCUAGGAAGCUUUUCCCAAGAACACUUUCAAUGUGCAGAAAGUUAAAUAAAAGAGUAUUUUAAGUACACAGGGGUUAUGUAUGGUGUUCAGAGCAUCCUCAUAUCCUGCUCUAUGAUCUGAAGAUGUUUUUCUAUAGAAGGUUCUGGGAAAGAAAACAUGGAAAAUUUAAAGAGAAACGAAGAAGUUCAUAAAUAUCCAUCAAGGUACUGGGAGCUCACGAAGUGCCAGAGAAGUGGACGCAAAGGACGAGAGGACCGGUGAAGCAUGCCAGAGGAUGGAGAAGUUGGAAUGUGCAGAUCUCACAUGUAGGAGGUAAAAGCCAGAUUGCAGCACAGCAGCACUAUGAGGUGCAUUCCAAAUGGAGACUCAGAGAAGCUAAGUAACUUAUCUGCCUAUGAAGCAAGACCAUCUCUUAGUGUUCAGGAAAAAGCCUGGAUAUUGAAAUCAGACCCAGUGAAGAUAAUAAAAAUAAUAAAACACAAAUGGACACAA